AUUUUAGGCAGGAGAGUAAAAUUGACAUUUACAUCUUACACCCUUCUCCCAAUCCACCAACUCAAACAACAAAUAGAAUGUCUCCUCAACUCCGGUAAGAUGCAGUCAAAAAGUGCAUCACUCCAUACAAACUACAAAUACCCUUUUUACAAACCACAAACUCAGGCCCCUCGUUCAUCACUAGCCCACAGCUCAGUAGUCACUCGCAUGGCUAAUCAUAUCCCAACUUUCAACCUAUUUCCCCAAAUCGAGACUGACAAUUAACACAGAUGACAGCGAAAAGCCAUACUGCUGAUCAUGUUUCUCCAAAGACUCUUGUUAAGUUUCAUUUCUUUCAUAGGAUUUGGCACCCGAUGUCAAUUAGGAACAGGGUACAACAUAAUGUUCCCAUAUAACUGGACCGUGGAAGAGAUGGGAGGAGAUCCAAAAUGCACAGCACACCCAUAGCUUUCAGUAAAGCCAUUUCCUAAAAUCCUUGAAUUGACAGAAUNNNNNNAAUAAUAUAAACAAAAGCCUCAUCAAUCAAUUUCUCCUUCCUCAACAUCUUUGUCUAACUCUGAAACAUUUUGGGGUGGUUCGACUUCCUCCUCCUCAUCAUUCUUCAUGUAUAGUCCCAGUUGCUCCAAUGGGUUACAACUCCCUUGAAGAAUGAAAUCUGGGCUUGUCUCCUCCACCAAGCUCGAUAACUCUUCAUCAUGUGCAGUCCUUAGCAUUUCAAGGUCUUCCAUUAACUGACUGUUCUCAUUAAUCUCAACAGUCUUUUCCAUCUGUUGCAAUGC
rnacentral:misc_RNA from 1 species